GCCGGGGUGGCGAAAUGGCAGACGCACUGGACUCAAAAUCCAGCGGUGGCAACACCAUGAGGGUUCGACUCCCUCCCCCGGCACCA
rnacentral:tRNA from 3 species